UUCAUUCAGUUCAGUUUUAAUAAAUUAUUAAAUUGGCAGCUACGCUAAAACAGGCAAUUGAAGUGAUCACGCUUAGUAACUCAGACACAGACCUUUGUUAAGCAACACAAAGAACAAAUUCUGAAAGGCCUCAGUCUUCAUGUGAAAUUUAAAGAGACAGUAAAAGUCAGCCUUCAGCGCAAAGACUUCAGAAAAAGGUGAAAAAACGAACCUAAAAUUCUGGAAAGUUAAACUUUGACGACUGUGAGCUCCUUCCCCCAGGAGUGAGGAGUAAAGCCUGGAGCACACGCCGCUCUCCUCCUCUACACAUCACUCAUCCUUCACUUCUGAAAUCCAGCCUACACUUAAUAUUUACUUCAUCUUCAUCUCAGCUGCUUAAACACAGUCCCCAGACCUUUCGAAGGGAUGUGUGAAGGGUUUUCCUUCAUCACGCUCAAGGACAUUGUCAUGCUUGUGUGAGGUGUUGGCAGUGAAGGAGCUGAAGGAGAUGCACAGAGCAUUUGGGCUCGACUUUGUGUUACUGUUGCGUCGGUCGGCUUUGUGCUCGGGUCUUAAUCAGAGAUCAUUUGAAGACUUAGAUCAUUUGAAGGAAUUAGUGUUGGGUCUGUGGUAAAGAGUGAGCGAGUGAAACCUUACAAAGAAGUAAGUGGUCCUUACUCUAGAACCUGAGUGUUCUUUACUCUAGAACCAAACCUGAGUGUUCUUUACUCUAGAACCUGAGUGUUCUUUACUCUAGAACCUGAGUGGUCUUUACUCUAGAACCUGUGUGUUCUUUACUCUAGAACCUGUGUUCUUUACUCUAGAACCAAACCUGAGUGGUCUUUACUCUAGAACCUGAGUGUUCUUUACGCUAGAACCUGAGUGGUCUUUACUCUAGAACCUGAGUGGUCUUUACUCUAGAAUCUGGGUGUUCUUUACUCUAGAACCUGGGUGUUCUUUACUCUAUUACCUGAGAGCUCUUUACUCUAGAACCUGAGAGGUCUUUACUCUAGAACCUGAGUGUUCUUUACUCUAGAACCUGUGUGGUCUUUACUCUAGAACCAAACCUGAGUGUUCUUUACUCUAGAACCUGAGUGUUAUUUACUCUAUAAUCUGUGUUCUUUAGUCUAGAACCUGAGAGGUCUUUACUCUAGAGACUCUAGAGUGACUGUGCUGCUGUUUGUGUUAGAGUUGAGCUUCUACACCAUAAUUUAAUUUUCAUUUUGAUCCACGAGUGAAACUGUGUUAUGGCCUUUUACUGAUGAAAUAUUUUGAUGUUCUGGAAAAAACCUAAUGCUUCAGAAACAUUUGCCAAAGUGAUGCAGGCAACUGUAAAAGGCUGCUCCAGGUCAGUGUGGGGCAGGAACCUCAUGCUGACUAACCAUUAAAUGUCCUGCUCAUUACUGAGAGCACGGAGAAAGAGCCUGACCCUGGGGGUCUAUUCUGAAUUUUGAAAUUUAAUUCCAGCCCAUUUUCCAUUCGAUUUGUAUUUCUAAAUGAAGCUCCAUUGUCACAGAGUAGCUUGUAGAUUCAGAGCUGAUGGCAGGAAAAAAGAGAGUGAAGGAAGGUAUUCAGUUUUGUCGACAGCUAUGUAGGAUUGUUUUUUUCUUUAAAUUAUUUUAAAAGCUGAAUCAUUUUUUGUAAUCUUUAUCAUUAAAGGUACCUUGUUCUACAUGUUGUAGUGUUGUGAACAUGAAGCACUGGACAUCAAAACAGGAAAAAAAAUUAUUAAUUUAUUUGUAAAAGUAUGCAAUGCAUAAUAAUAAAUAAAAAAUGGUUUUGGUGAACGUUGCGUUAGCUGUGGAAAACGUUGGCUUGUUUAGGUUUCAUUCUUGAGUUUGUGUGUAUUUAUAGUUAUAGAUCAUCGUGUGAGUUGAUUGUAUGAUUGUGAUGCUAGGUCUUGUCAACAAAACUGUUUUUCAGGUUGUUGUAUUUAUCGUGGUAUUGUUGUGUGUUUUUGUGCUUUUUUUGUAUGCUGUCAUGCCACUGGAGCAUGUAAUGAAAAAUAAAUUUAAAAGGUGACUCAGUGGAGUCCAGGAUAAACCACUCGCUGUCAUAAAGCAGUGAAUUUAAGAACGCACACUUGGAGAGGUGUAAAGUGACAAAUGGACCAUGGGGACUGCAGAUCCACGUCUUUCUCAGUAAUGGCAGGGUUGAGACACUCUGCUGGUCUUAAUGGACCAUUAAAGUCCCACGGUUGGCUCCGCGGAUCUCAGUGCAAUGCCUCAGGGGCACAGCAGGAGUGGAGUCGCACCGCGUGAGAGGCAGGAACUGGACUUAAAGCAUCAGUUAAAGUGCAGGAUCAGAUAGUGGAACAAUCUGCGAGUCAGGAGAAAUCCACGCCUGGGGUUUUGUCAAUCUGGACAAUAACAGAGGAGUUUUUUCUUCUGUAAGCUCCAGCUCCAGGUCCAAAGCUGUGAGUGUGUGUGAGAAGAGACAUUAGACACAACAGCUGCACUACAACAAAAGUGAAACUCAAUAGAAACCUCCAGAAAAACAGCAGAGAAAAUUCAGUCGGAGGUUCAGCACCACGUCUGAUCCGGUCCUGAACUUCAAUCAGAAUGCUGGUGGAUCAGAUUUGGGUGCCAGCCAGAGGAAAGGCUUCAGGCUGUUCUGAUUUCCUGCAACUUCUGCUUACGAAGAAAAUAUCUUAAAUAUCUGAAAUAUCUCAUCUCUCAUCUCUUUAAUCUCCUGAUGGAGGAACAGCAUCACAGCUGAAUUGUGCAGAAUGAUAAGUUCAGAGCAAAAAAAAUGACCUCUUUUUGACUCAGCUUUUUUUUUUUACACUUUGUUCCAGAUCACCAGAUGUUUCUGUUCAGCUGAUGACUGAUAUAAUGCAAGACAGAAACAUCAAUGAGGACACGUCCCUAUCAAGGAGAUGUUACUAUGGAAACCAUAACAGAUCAGAACGAGAGCAUUAAUAUAAAAUGUAGAAUUAAUCGAUGUCUCCUGACCAAUCAGAACGCAGGAUCCAACAGCGCUGUGGUGUGAUGUUAAAAACGAAUCAGGACUCGUUCUGUAGGUCUUUUUACCAGCAUCUCUCAGUCUUUUGUUAGUUUUUUCGAGUUUUAACUCGGUUGUAUGUAAAUCCCGCAGUAAAUAAGAUCACGACUGAAUACCAUAUGGCAUCAGGAAGGAACAGCAUUAGAAAAGUACAGUUUACUUUUUCUGGAAAGCAAAAGCCUGGAUUUGUACCAGGAUGAGCAGGUUAAUGUAGUGAAGAGGCUAAUAAGAAUUCAACUUACAGACUCACUGAAGCUUCUUCAGACAAACAUCUGAAAAAUCCCUCCAUCCAUCUAUUUCUCUAUCCCUCAGGAGACUGUUAUUUUUAUAUUAUUCUCCUGUGCUGAAGGCUAAAAGGAGGAAUCGUCUCCAUCCCCCAACUUUAUGGUGUGUUUUAGAGGAUCACGUGAGCUGUGCUAUUUUUAUUGCCUUAAAUUUUAAUGGGUAAAAUCUUACUAAUCCUGUAUUUCUAUAUGUGCUCUAUAUCUAUUAGAUGUUAGCUGAAAUUGAAAUGUGGAGGGAUUUGCUUUAUAUAAUCCUUAAUGGAGGUGAAAUGAAUUUCAGCAGUAAUAACGGCUUGGCUGCUCAAGCGCAUUGAUGAUGCGUGGCUCGCAUGCGGAAUGACGGCACGGACAAAAACACCACAAAAUGGUGUGGGGAAGGAAGGAAAGAGGGAAGGCAGGAGGGAAGGAAGGAAGGAAGGAAGGAAGGAAGGAAGGAAGGAAGGAAGGAAGGAAGGAAGGAAGGAGGCCUUUUUUAAAAGAAGCCUGUAUUUUUGUGACAACUAUAUUACAGCACAGUGAAAUUCUUUCUUCACAUAUCUUUGGAAGUUGGGCUCAGAACACAAGGUCAGCUAUGAUACAGCACCCUGGAGCAGAGAGGGUUAAGGGCCUUGCUCAAGGGCCCAACAGUGGCAGCUUGGCAGUGCUGGGGCUUAAACCCUGAUUCUCCAAUCAACAACCCAGAGGCUUAACCACUUAAAUAAAUAAAUAAAUAAAUAAAUAAAUAAACAAAUAAAUAAAUAAAGUAGGUUUAUGAUGAUAAAAAUGUUCUGCAUUUUAAUCUAUAAUGCAUCUUAAACUUAAUCUUAGAUCUUACAUAUAUUGACUUGUGUAUUAAUCUCUGCAUGUUUCAUCAGUCACUUAAUUCGGUUUCGUGUGAUGUUCUGCUCUUCCUCAGAUAGAGCUGUCUGCUGCACACACACACACACACACACUCACACACACACACACACACACACACACACACACACACACACACACACACACACACACACACACACUCACACACUCACACACACACUCACACACACUGAGACACUUGAUUCACAGUUCAUGUGACUCUGCACAUUUCAUUUCAUUCCUCUCAGCCUUUGACUCUAUGAUUCGGGUGAAAUUUAUUCUAUAACAUCAUCAAUAGGCACCAUCACAAACUAUUGAUUAUUAAUAUCGGCCACAUUAAAGUGACCGAUGCUUAACUGGAGGAGGAAUAUUUCCUUGAUCAACUGCUGAAUGAAGUUACAGAUUGUCUGUAAGUGCCGCAGAUGAGCGCUGGGUCAGAUUAUAGUUCACAUUGCCUUUAUUUCAUUCAUUCAAAGGAAAUAAGUCGAUGAAAUAAAUUAAAAACGCACACACUCUAGGGUUUCAUCACCUCUAUUUAGCCUCUCAUGACUUCAUUGUCUUCCUCUCUGAUUGUGAUAUAAAACACUACACUUUAGGACUGAUUGAAUGAUUAUCUUUUUUCUGAAAUAAAAGAAAGUGUUCUUUUUUCUGUUUGCAGUCAUUUUUAGAAAUCGUUUAUGUAUAAUGAGCUGACUCAGAUGAGUGUUGCAAACGAACGCAGGGAUAAGCAGCACAGUGAAGUGAAGCUUGUACGAAGCUUAACAACACGAUGAGUCAUACGUGAGAAAAUCGACACCUCUGUAAGCGAAGCGACGAAGCAGCAGCAGCUUGGGUUAACUUUUGAUUUAUCAUAUGCACCAUUAACAGAUUGCAGAGCAAUCUUUCCCGGCCAGUGUAAUGAUGGCUAGUCGAUGGCGGCUGCGCAUCGUCCAAUCUUUUAUUCUGAAUCCUGUCAAUAAUAAAAGCCCUCAAUGAAAAGCUGAAGAGUGCUCACCAAACUCUAGUACUGUGAGGACUGUAAUGUAAUUUACAAGGCUUCAUCCAUAUUGAUGAUAGUUGAAGUCGACUGCAAAUGUCAGGCUGAGACUAAUCUGACCUCAUCAGGGAAGGAGCGCUUAUGAAAGAUGGAUCCGGAAGCUAAUGAGGGCGCCGUCACUUCCAGUCAGAGGCUUUUCACUACAUAGACUAACCCCUAGACUUUUCAACCUGCCGUCAUCAAACCCUGCCUUCUCAUUCAGUAGCACUGCUUUGACCUCUCAAGGCAGUGCUUCAGCCUGACUGGUCGGUUACAAAGUUAUCGUUGCUUUAUUAACAUCUCGUUUUUAGGGACGUGUACAGAGCGCAGGCGCAGCGCUUUGUCAUAAAUAACAGAUUUCUAUUCAUGUGCUUAAGGUGAAGUUUAUUUAUGGAACACGUAUGGAAGGAGUCUCCAGUGUCACUUGGAAAUCCGUAACUGUCUUGUGAUGUCAUCAGGACGGAGGAGUUUGUGAUUCUUUGGGGUUUCUCAGUAACUGAGUGGGAAGUAUCUGAGUCUUGUGUCUGUUUUGUUGACUCGAUCCACUUUGAAGAAAAAUAUCCAAGGACGUAUUCACCUGCACAUUUAUUUCCAAAGUACGCAAGAAGAAGUGCUCCGGAUUUCAUCCGGCAAUCUACUCAGCCUCCGUUUCUUUUCUGACGUGAAUAGCAUUUGCUUGUCUCCUCUGCUCGACGUAAUGACACAAUCUACUUCAGCAAGUCUUUUUCACUAAAUGCUGGAUUCCAUUAGCAGAGCCUUGCAUUGAAAGGAGGACGAUCAUGUGCUGUCAUUUAAGAUGAAACAGGAAGCAGGAAGUAAGGAUGAGGAACAAUUCCAGAGCGACCAGUUCAAAGCCUUUCUUACAGCUUUGUUGACCUUCCUGGAAACUUCUGGACAUACAGGGUUAGAUAUAAGAUCAAAACAGAGCUGAGUGUGUGUGCUGCAAUGUCUUCCCUGAUCCCUGAGGUCAGCUACACCAGUCUUCUGAACUACUGGAGAAGUUCAGAAGUUCAGUUCUCCAGACUUCACUCGUUUCUCCAUAUAUCCCACUGUGGGAUUGAGGUCUGGGGCUCCAUCAUGCUCAGAUCUGCCUCUAUGCAUACUACAGUGACUAGUGUGGAGCACUGAACUGACCAGUUCUUCAUCCAUCCCACUGCACUAUCUGACACUGUACUAACUCCACCCUGGGACUUGUGCUCCUUACACAGUACCAAAGCUGUGUUUAAGCUCCUCAGCUCACUUCAUCAUCAGCAUGGACCUGUCAGAUCACGUCUAGGGUUCGAGACGUGAUGCAGGUUCAAAAGAUGAAACGCACACUUGAAGUUCCAUCAACUCCACCAGAUGUACAGAAAGGUUUUGGAGCAGAAUUUGUGUGAGAGAAGAAUACAGUGAGGUGAGUCACUCUGAGGCAGACACGACACGACUGGGAAAAGAAUCCUGAAUAAAUAAACUUCACCAGGUGCAGAAGAAGAAGAAACAGGUGUGUAGACAGGAAGGAGCAGACGAAGGCGGGGCAGACACGUGACAAAGAACGUAAACAGAUGCAGUCUGAGCUGAGUCACGACAGAGGGCCUCCCCCCAGGCGCGGCUCCUGAUGUGCCAACCCGUCUUGGUGGUCCAGACGGGGUCCGGGUGGGGGGAGCAAGACACACGGCGAGGCAGGUGGGGGGAGCAAGGCACACGGCGAGGCAGGUGGGGGGAG